rnacentral:lncRNA from 1 species
UUUCAUGUUUAAACCAUGGUUAACUUGCUGGUCACCUGCUUUUUCGCUUGCCAGGUAACCCAUUUUCAAGAUCACCCAUCAUCAUGCCAGCCUGCCAGCUUACCAGCCUGCUUGCCUGCCAACCUGCCAGCCUGCUUUUGGGUUUAGGGUUUUAGGGAGUACACACGGGGGGAAAGAAUGGGCUAUUGCAGCGAAGCAACGCCCCAGAUGAGUGCUAAAAACAGUGCAUUAGAACAUGCAUAUUUGAAGCUUAGCCUAACGUUGUCCUUGGCCUCCGACUGCACCCACUACCCUCCAGAGCGUGGCCUGGAGCUUUUCGAGUCGAGGGACGUACGUCAUACAUCGCUACAAGGUGUGUAUGGAUAGGGAGGGUCGGGGAAUUGGGGCUGGAAGGGUUGGGAGGGUCGUGGCACGGGAGUUGGCGGGGUAUGGGGGUUAG